rnacentral:misc_RNA from 1 species
GAUGAAGAACGCAGCGAAAUGCGAUAAGUAAUGCGAAUUGCAGAUUUCAGUGAGUCAUCGAAUCUUUGAACGCACAUUGCGCCCGCCAGUAUUCUGGCGGGCAUGCCUGUUCGAGCGUCAUUUCAACCAUCAAGCCCCCGGCUUGUGUUGGGGACCUGCGGCUGCCGCAGGCCCUGAAAACCAGUGGCGGGCUCGCUGUCACACCGAGCGUAGUAGAUUUUCAUCUCGCUCAGGGCGUGCUGCGGGUUCCGGCCGUAAAAAGCCUUAUUUACCCAAGGUUGACCUCGGAUCAGGUAGGAAGACCCGCUGAACUUAAGCAUAUCAAUAAGCGGAGGA